rnacentral:tRNA from 1 species
GCGGGGAUAGCUCAGUUGGGAGAGCGUCAGACUGAAGUCCACUUCAUUCUAAUAUCUGAAGGUCGUGCGUUCGAUCCGCACUCACCGCA